rnacentral:rRNA from 1 species
UACGAGGGGUGCAAGCGUUGUCCGGAUUUAUUGGGCGUAAAGCGUUUCGUAGGCGCCUAUAGAAGUCUUUGUUCAAAGACCGGAGCUCAACUCCGGGAAGGGUGAAGAUACUCUAUGGGUUGAAAUAUUUCGGGGUUACUGGAACUAUCGGUGUAGGGGUGAAAUCCGUUGAUAUCGAUAGGAACUCCAAGGGCGAAGGCAGGUAACUAGGAAUUUUUUGACGCUGAGGAACGAAAGCUAGGGGAGCGAAAGGG